UAGGGAAUCUUCCACAAUGGACGCAAGUCUGAUGGGAGCAACGCCGCGUGAGUGAAGAAGGCUUUCGGGUCGUAAAACUCUGUUAUUGAAGAAGAACGUGCGUGACAGUAACUGGUCAUGCAGUGACGGUAUUCAAUCAGAAAGUCACGGCUAACUACGUGCCAGCAGCCGCGGUAAUACGUAGGUGGCAAGCGUUGUCCGGAUUUAUUGGGCGUAAAGCGAGUGCAGGCGGUCUUUUAAGUCUGAUGUGAAAGCCUUCGGCUUAACCGAAGAAGGGCAUCGGAAACU
rnacentral:rRNA from 1 species